UGGGGGUGGAGAAGCUCCCAAGGGUCGGGCUGUUCGCCCGUUAAAGCGGUACGCGAGCUGGGUUCAGAACGUCGCAAGACAGUAGACCUAUAGCGUUAAUAACGCUGUUAAAUGAGCUGUCUAU
rnacentral:ncRNA from 1 species